AUUAAACCUUGGUUGGAAUGUUCCUAAACAUGGCUAGGUUUCUGUAUAGUUACCGCCAGUCUAGCCUUGUUUUUCUAGGAAGUUUCCGCAUCUUUAAAAUAAUACAAUAAAUCAGAGUGCAGGAGAUUCACACUUAUUCUAUAGGCUGAAUUCACUCACACUUGGAAAUCAGUUUAAAGAUUUGUGAUAUUCACUGUAACGGCUAGACGGCUAAUAACUAAGCUCAGUAAACAAAUCUAGGGAAAAAAGCAGCCUUAAACAUGUCAAUUAUAGCUGCAACCAGCAACACUUUAUAAGAUAAUCAGUACAAAUCACAAAGAAGACAUGCCAAGGUCUAUAAGACGUGAGACUGAGAAUCUCCUGGGUACUUUUUUAAUGUAUUUACUCUCCGCAGCGCAUGGGGUGGAGAAAGAAAAG